rnacentral:misc_RNA from 1 species
AUUUUAAUAAAUUUUAUUUUUGAUUAUCCCUUUUUGUAAUUAACCCCCAUCUCUGACAUCGUGCUUAACGUUAGAGAUCUCACAGCAGUUGCAGACAAGUGUAAAGGAAGCACCAUAGCUGCGACCCCCCUCUUCAUGUUCAGAUUCCGUCAAUGCUUCUCCUUCAAUAGAAAUCAAUUUCUUUUCUUUAUCGAUUGCGUAGCGGAAGCGUUCCUUAGAAACUCCGGGAAGAUCCAACCUCCAAUACAGAUGAUUUUUGUCCAAGAUCUUGACCUCAAAAAACCCUUUUGUUCCAUUCAUUUGGAAUUGAUUGUUCCUUGCAUGAAACCUAUCUGAAGAAUGAGGAGUAAGAAGGUUGAAAACUCGGCUAGCCAUGGAGACGAGAAUCGGAGAGUGAUAGAGACACGGAUAUAUUUUGCAGUAGCCCAAGUAAGAUUUGGAUAGGUAAACCUUG